rnacentral:ncRNA from 2 species
UUGACUAUUCUCUGUAAUGUUUUAUAAUAGUAAUGUAAAUAUCGGCGGGGAAUAUGGUGAAAGUCCAUAACAGCUCACUCUACUGUAAUUAGUUACGAAACCUGAAGAACCACUGGCGUAUCAUAUUUUGGCCGGGAAGGUCGGGGAGUAGGCUUGAAGCUAAGAGUCAGGAUAUCUGUCAGGUAUGAUUUAUCAUU